rnacentral:rRNA from 2 species
CCUGAUGCAGCCAUGCCGCGUGUGUGAAGAAGGCCUUCGGGUUGUAAAGCACUUUCAGUUGUGAGGAAAAGUUAGUAGUUAAUACCUGCUAGCCGUGACGUUAACAACAGAAGAAGCACCGGCUAACUCCGUGCCAGCAGCCGCGGUAAUACGGAGGGUGCGAGCGUUAAUCGGAAUUACUGGGCGUAAAGCGCACGCAGGCGGUUUGUUAAGCUAGAUGUGAAAGCCCCGGGCUCAACCUGGGACGGUCAUUUAGAACUGGCAGACUAGAGUCUUGGAGAGGGGAGUGGAAUUCCAGGUGUAGCGGUGAAAUGCGUAGAUAUCUGGAGGAACAUCAGUGGCGAAGGCGACUCCCUGGCCAAAGACUGACGCUCAUGUGCGAAAGUGUGGGUAGCGAACAGGAUUAGAUACCCUGGUAGUCCACACCGUAAACGCUGUCUACUAGCUGUUUGUGACUUUAAGUCGUGAGUAGCGAAGCUAACGCGAUAAGUAGACCGCCUGG